rnacentral:ncRNA from 1 species
UGAAAAGCGUGGAAGAGGAAAAGUAAGAUUCAACUAUUUUUUCACAGAGAACUUCGGCAGCUGAAAAGAAGUAAAAAUACGAAUCUGAACAAUGGCCUCUGAGCUUCGUGCUGAAAAUAUCGAUCGAUAUGAGUAGGUUCCGACGAGAUUUGGUACUCGUUAUCAAUACCACAGUAUCAAAGCUUCUUGCUUUCGUACUUGAUGAGGCUGUAUGUGUGAGCAUACAGUAAAAUAAGGUGGUACCACGUAUAUUCCAACCACGUCCUUAUC